rnacentral:lncRNA from 1 species
GAAGGCAGAAGAGAGGGAGAGGUGUGGGGAUUUUAUGGGAGGCAUGGGGCUACUGAAAAUCAGAUGUUAAGACCCUUAGAAAAGACCUCUUUAAAAAGAUAAAAGAUUUGAAUUCUAUUUAAAAUCAAAUAGCCUCUUAAUACAAGUUCUACUUGCAUUAGGAAUCCUUAUAGCCUUAGAUAUUUGACUCCCUUUUGGAGAUCCAUUAGGUGCCAACUAUUGGAGCCUUUUCACCCACUUUUUCACAUGCCACAUGAAGCUUAAGGGAUGCCCUUUGCUGGUCCCACAC